rnacentral:rRNA from 1 species
AUUCCAGCUCCAGUAGCGUAUAUAAAAGUUGUUGCAGUUGAAAAGCUCGUAGUUGGAUUUCUGGCUUGAUCGGCCGGCCCGCCGCUAUAUUGCGGUGCGUGCCGGUUUGAUUUGGCCAUCCUUCCGGGGACCCUUCCUGCCCUUCAUUGGGUUGGGUUGUGGCACUCGGAUCGAUUACUUUGAAAAAAUUAGAGUGUUCAAAGCAGGCAGUUGUCUUGAAUACAUUAGCAUGGAAUAAUGACAUAGGACUUUGGUUCUAUUUUGUUGGUUUCUAGGACUGAAGUAAUGAUUGAUAGGGAUAGUUGGGGGUGCUAGUAUUGUAUGGCCAGAGGUGAAAUUCUUGGAUUCAUGCAAGACUAACUUAUGCGAAAGCAUUCACCAAGGAUGUCUUCAUCA